rnacentral:misc_RNA from 1 species
GAGAAUUGUACCAAAAACAAUAUGGACAAUCCAUCCAUAUCCCACCUUGUGUGCACCCAUUGAAACCAUGCUUUGGGAGGUUUCUCCUCUGUUGGAAUUGGAGAUACUCAAGCCUCCCAAGGUUUUUGUUCUCGCAACACUUUUUUUUUUCCUGAAAAAUCAAACAUAAUAAUAAUAAAUA